GCAGUUUUGAAGAAAUGUAAAUCACUUCAACCAUGAUUCUAUUUCUCUUUAAUAAUAAAGGGGAAACAGGAAAGAAAGUUUAUGUGAAAUUCAUACUUGGCCCUUUUCAUGUGUAUAUGGCUAGCCAAAUCAGAAGGCAUGAAAAAUCAAACUAGUGGAUAGCCUGGGCCCAAUUGUUUUAUGAACUUAUUAAUGAUUGCAGUCACUUACAAUAUAAGAAGAAUAGUUGGGUUAUUCUUACAAUAGUAGAAACCUAAAAAGAAAUGGUAAGUUUUGCCUCUAUAUAAGCUUUACCUUGGUAAAAAGUUUUCAACAGACAAUCCUCUACAACUAUUCUCUCAUUGAGCCACAUAUUCCAGCAAUAUUAAAAAAAUACUUCUUCCCAAGUGAUUAAACUGAGUUCUAAUUGAACUUCUAGAAGUCUUAACAGUAGCAAAAUUAGGAUUCUAAGAUGAAAAUAGUCUAUGUGCCAAUGGAAGACUUGCUAAGAAAUAAGGAAAAAAAAAAGUUAAGGCAACACAACUGUAAGUUAGCAUAAAAGGAUACUAAAUUUGUCACAUACUUUUCUUUUAGAAUAAUCCAUCUUUUGAACGGAGUAGCACCUAAAUACAAUUGCAAUCUAGUAACAUGGUUAAAUACUGCCAAUACCUGAUAUUCAACCUUAAUGUAACAUGAACAAGUCAAUCCCCAAAAAAAAGCAAAGGCAUCCAAAAACUAAAUUUCAGCAGCUGAAUGGCCAUAUAAAAGAAAAUGGCACUCCUUAUAAAGUUAAGGCCAAUGGUAAGGGAAAUCAUGCACAGCCACCUAUCCCAGCCAUUCCCGCAAUGCAAGCGCAAUGGACCUGUGCAUUGCACAAAUGGCUCAGAUGAGAUGACUAAGCACUACUGCCUGCAGUGUCCUACAGGGUGAAGCAUGGCAACUAAUAUGGAUAUUCAAAUCCAGUUAGGAUGUUUGCUCCAAGGCUGCCCUCUUCUACCAAUUUUAGGUGCCAAAACCAAUCUGCU
rnacentral:misc_RNA from 1 species